rnacentral:rRNA from 1 species
CUACGGGAGGCUGCAGUGGGGAAUAUUGCGCAAUGGGCGCAAGCCUGAUGCAGCCAUGCCGCGUGUAUGAAGAAGGCCUUCGGGUUGUAAAGUACUUUCAGCGGGGAGGAAGGGAGUAAAGUUAAUACCUUUGCUCAUUGACGUUACCCGCAGAAGAAGCACCGGCUAACUCCGUGCCAGCAGCCGCGGUAAUACGGAGGGUGCAAGCGGUAAUCGGAAUUACUGGGCGUAAAGCGCACGCAGGCGGUGUGUUAAGUCAGAUGUGAAAUCCCCGGGCUCAACCUGGGAACUGCAUCUGAUACUGGCAAGCUUGAGUCUCGUAGAGGGGGGUAGAAUUCCAGGUGUAGCGGUGACAUGCGUAGAGAUCUGGAGGAAUACCGGUGGCGAAGGCGGCCCCCUGGACGAAGACUGACGCUCAGGUGCGAAAGCGUGGGGAGCAAACAGGAUUAGAUACCCCAGUAGUC